rnacentral:rRNA from 1 species
UAGGGAAUAUUGGACAAUGGGGGCAACCCUGAUCCAGCCAUGCCGCGUGAGUGAAGAAGGCCCUCGGGUUGUAAAGCUCUUUUGUCCGGAAAGAAAAGCUUCGGGUUAAUACCCCGGGGUUCUGACGGUACCGGAAGAAUAAGCACCGGCUAACUUCGUGCCAGCAGCCGCGGUAAUACGAAGGGUGCAAGCGUUACUCGGAAUUACUGGGCGUAAAGCGUGCGUAGGUGGUUGUUUAAGUCUGAUGUGAAAGCCCUGGGCUCAACCUGGGAAUGGCAUUGGAAACUGGGCAGCUAGAGUGCGGUAGAGGGUAGUGGAAUGCCCGGUGUAGCAGUGAAAUGCGUAGAGAUCGGGAGGAACAUCUGUGGCGAAGGCGACUGCCUGGACCAGCACUGACACUGAGGCACGAAA